GUCUAUAAAUCUGGAGUGCUGGGCACUUGUAUUAUAUAUGUAGAGAUAGAUAGAUCUAUAUAUCAGCCCCGGAACGUUGGGAUUACGUUGUGAAAUACAUGUUUUGAAAUCAGCCUCCGAGUGCCGCUGCUUGUUUUGUGCCAGAGGAUAUAUUGGUUUCGGUAUUUGUUUUGCUUUGCUAGGCUAGAGUUAUGAUUAUGACUCUGUUUCCCUUACAGUGCCUUCACCCAAGGCCUGCAGUGUACUUUGAUUUUUUUGGAGUGUACUUACAAACAGUCCUUGAUCACCACUAAAACCAACAGUGUUCUUCACCCUUCGGAGUGGACUUCAGAACAGCCCUACAUUUUCACCCAAGCUUAUGGUGUUAUACGAUCCUUUGGACUAGACUUGGGAAUACUUCAUUAGGUCUACAUCUUCUGCAGCUGUCCUCUGACAGAGAUUUUCACAUUGAUUAUUGAAAAGUAGACUUUUAAAACAUUGAAGACAUCUAUACCAGGCUGGCAUCAUGUCUAAUAAAAAGCGAACAAAUAGUUCAAAGCCAGGAAUAAUGUUCUACUUUCACCACCAACCAAAGAAAGGAAAAACUGACAUUCCACUUCAAACACACAAAAUGUAAUAAAUGUCAGGCUGCUUCAAGCAAGCAGUGACAUCACCAACCAUGCCCCGGGCCCACCAAACAAUACAACUUACAUUCUUAUCACCUGAGACAGCAUGUACUUUUUGUUACCUGAGCUCACGACUUAGAACAUCACGAUUGUGGAGAAUUAGUAAAAUGUUAU